rnacentral:rRNA from 1 species
UACGUAGGGUGCGAGCGUUAAUCGGAAUUACUGGGCGUAAAGCGCGCGCAGGCGGUUUUGUAAGCCAGAUGUGAAAGCCCCGGGCUUAACCUGGGAAUGGCAUUUGGGACUGCAAGGCUGGAGUACGGCAGAGGGAGGUGGAAUUCCAGGUGUAGCAGUGAAAUGCGUAGAUAUCUGGAGGAACACCGAUGGCGAAGGCAGCCUCCUGGGCUAGUACUGACGCUCAUGCACGAAAGCGUGGGGAGCAAACAGG